AAUGAACGUUGGCAGCGUGGAUUAGGCAUGCAAGUCGAGCGACAAGGUCCUGGACGUGGAGGAGCGGCAAACGGGUAGGUAAUACAUCGGAACGUACCCUCACGUCUGGGAUAGCCACGGGAAACUGUGGGUAAUACUGGAUAAUCUCACCGCUUGUGAAGAGUGGUGAGCAAAGGUCCGCCGCGUGAGGAGCGGCCGAUGCGAUACUAGAUAGUUGGUGGGGUAAUGGCCUACCAAGUCUAAGAUGUCUAGGGGGUGUGAGAGCAUGGCCCCCACCACUGGGACUGAGACACUGCCCAGACACCUACGGGUGGCUGCAGUCGAGAAUCUUUGGCAAUGGGC
rnacentral:rRNA from 1 species